UUAGGUUGAUGAUUGAGACCUGAGGUGGAACAAGAAAGCAGACCUCUUAAUCCCAUCUCCUCCUGUUUCCUGGCCUUUCUCUACAUUCCUUUGCUUCCAUUUUGCCUUCUGGAUGACAUCUUGUCAAAGAAUCAUUGAACCUAUUUGGAGGAUCUACUACAGAUUCCAUGUGUUUUCUGCCCUGAAAUGGCAAGCAAUCAUGUGCACAGGUAGAGAGACAUAUACACAUGCAUGCAGUUAUGAGUUCUACUAGGCAAAGGACAAAUGACAGAUGUUCAGGAAUUAGGCUGCUUUGAGAAGAUGGUAAAGUGAAAUUCUUUUGAACAAAAGUGGAACUCACACCUGGUCCUAUCAUUCUGUAUACCCAGAAUUUAUU